rnacentral:rRNA from 1 species
CUACGGGUGGCUGCAGUGAGGAAUAUUGCACAAUGGGGGGAACCCUGAUGCGGCAACGCCGCGUGGAGGAUGACGCAUUUCGGUGUGUAAACUCCUUUUAUAUGUCAAGAAAAUGACGGUAGCAUAUGAAUAAGCACCGGCUAACUCCGUGCCAGCAGCCGCGGUAAUACGGAGGGUGCAAGCGUUACUCGGAAUCACUGGGCGUAAAGGACGCGUAGGCGGGUUGGAAAGUCAGGUGUGAAAUCCUACAGCUUAACUGUAGAACUGCACUUGAAACUUCUAAUCUAGAGUAUGGGAGGGGGAGACGGAAUUAGUGGUGUAGGGGUAAAAUCCGUAGAUAUCACUAGGAAUACCUAAAGCGAAGGCGAUCUCCUGGAACAUUACUGACGCUAAGGCGUGAAAGCGUGGGGAGCAAACAGGAUUAGAUACCCGUGUAGUC